AUGGGAUUUCUUGAGGCGCAUGCGCAUAUGCUGGUCUAUAAAUCGUUUAUUGUGUUCAAGAAUGACGGACUACGACGAUUUAAAGCAUAUGGUGAUGAGCUUCAGGGUCACUGAGCUCCAGGUUUUACUAGGGUAUGCAGGACGAAACAAAAGUGGGCGUAAACAUGAACUCCAGGCACGAGCACUGUCUCUCCUUAAAAACAACUGCAGUACCCCUGUGCAAAUCAAGAUAAAGGACUUGUACCGUAGGAGGUUUCCUCGCAGACUUGUAGCUCCUCCUCCUUACCUUUCCUCGAUAUCUUCUGAACAGCCGUCAAAACUGCCUAACCACUCUUUGAACUCGAGUACUAUAUACUCGCAGCAGCAUGGACAUUCACAGACACAGCAUUCUCCACCAUCGUCUGGUCAUCACCAUACCUCCUCCUCUCAUGGACUGUCUCAUCCGUCGCAUAAUUCACACAACUCUCACAGCUCACUUUCUUCCCACUCAUCACAUGGAGGAUCUCAAACCAAUCUGCAUACUAGCUCACACAGUAGUUCGCACAGUAGUUCGCAUAGUUCGGUAUCUCCUCUGGGUUCAUCUGUCCAUGCUACGCAAGCAUAUCAUCCAGAUGUAAAGCUCAAAGUUUUACCCUUCUUUGACAUUCUGGCAGAACUCGUCAAACCAUCAGCACUUAUGGUUUCUGGGAAAUACCGAGAUGCACAGCAGUCAACACUCUUCCACCUUACACCUGCCCAGAUCCAACAAAUCUUAGAAUCACAGGAUCCAAGAACACGCAGCUUUGUAGUACAAGUUCAGCUCAGGUGAGGUUUUGUUUGUAAUGCAGAUUUUAAAAGUUGUAUUAUGAUAUUAAUGUUUGUUCAUUAUUGAUAUUUAUGCUUGUAUUAAUGAAAUGUGCCAAUUUGUGUGAAUUAAAAUUGUGUUUUAUAAAUUAUUAUACAGUGUGUAUAAAAAUAAGGUAAUCCAUUUAAAACGGCUGUUGGUCAAGAACUUAAUGAGUUAUAGAAAUCAUAUUUACAUUGACAGGGAUAAAUAAUUCCUUAGCUCUCCAGUGAAACUGUAAUUGAACCUCUGAUCUCCUGAAUGACCAAUAAAUUGGAUUGAAAGACAACAGGUACAGAUUCCCUCCCCCCCCCUAGUUUCAGGAAAUGGAUGAAGGGUGUACAUGUUAUGAGUAAGAUCUUUCAUUCGUGCCUCAGCUGACUUCUUUGUCAUUAGACAUGGCAACUUUGCAAAGGAUGACUUUUUUUUUCUGACAGAAGAUUAAACCUCUCAUUUUCUAUUUUGACUAUUGGCAAAAUGGUUUAACUUUGCAACUCGACAAUAUAGCUUGGUGGUAGCCACUUUCCACAAAACGCACACUUUGCAGAAGACCUGCAUGUACAUGUAAGAAGCUUUCAGGGAACAUUCCAAAAAACAGACUUCAUUAAACAAAUUGUUUGAGCGAACUUCAAAAAAUAUUGUGAUCAUGGCAACUCUGAGAGAAGACGCACUUGGCGUUCAGAAGAGAACACCGAGGUUGUAAGACAACAACUUUUGGAACAUCCAAGCGGCAUUAGCGCUAGGUCAAAUGGAGUUGGACUUGGAAUGUCUUCAGCUACCUUUACAGAAUUAUGGGACAGGGUCUUCACAUGCUUCUGUACCAAAUAUCCUGUGGUAUCACUUUCUGCCAGCAGACCUUCCUCAAAGAGAUUACAUUUUGUAAUUGGCCAUGAGGCAACCGAGAAGGGGGGGGGGAGAUGGAGAGCAAAGUGACAAUUUCAUAUUGAACCUAAUUGUGGGUGUCAAAGCUGUGUUUGCCAUUUACAGCAAGGUAAAUAUGCCUAAAUCUUGAUAAUGUUGUGGAAUUUGCAUUUGGCGAGACAUCCACUAGAAAUAAACUUUGAAGUCAAUACUGCAUUAAAUCACACAUUGGUUUUGAGGUAAAGAGGUGCAAGACAUAUUUUUCGCAUUUGUCCAAAAUUGUGUUGCCACACAAAAGUCCAGGAAAACUCAUAGUGGAUCAAACCACUUUCACAGUUUUUAGCCAUUGCUCAUGAAAAUUUGCACAAAUAUUCAUCUUGGGGUAGAGACAUGCAAGCUUCAUUUUCUAAAUGUUUUAAUCUGCAUUACCCUGGUAGCUGCAUCGGGUGGGGUAUUAAUCACCUUCAGUGAUAUAUCUAGUUAUUUAUGCAUUUAUAAUUAUUUAAAGGGCAAGACCACCCCAACAAAAAUCAAUUUAAAUGAAAAGAGAAAUUCAAACAUGCUUCACACUGAAAAUUCAAUCAGAAUCAGAUGUAAAAUUUUAUAAGAAAAUUAUGACAUUCAAAAAUUUCAGUGAAUUUCACAAAACAGUCACAUGCACAUCCUGCUGGGUAUGCAAAUGAUAUAACCGAUUUUAUUAUCUAGAGUGUUUUAGCGAUGCAUUAAAAAUGCAUAUUUUAACUUGCAUCAAUUGCCUGUUCAAUACGAGAGCGUAUCCUUAAAAUCCUACGAAAAUCCCAUUCCCAUCUACAAUGUAGGCUCCCGUACAAAAACUUGCUGUUCAAUACGAGACUGUAUUCAACACUGAACAGUCUAAAGCGCAUGCUGAUAUAUGCGCGAAAUACACAACGCAUACAACAAUGAAUGCAAUGCGAGAUGCAACGUAGAGCCCAAUGAUAAUUAAUGACAUCAUAAUGAACUACAUGUACAUUUAGUUGCAUUUCUAUCUAUAUGACCUUUGAAGUGAGGGCAUAUAAGUGACAUAACGUGUUCAAUCAAAAUUUUCCCUCUUUAAUUUUUUUUUUUUUGGGGGGGGGGUUGAUUGAUAAUGAUAAUUAUAUUGGAUGGCUUUAUUUCAUGGAAUACCAUGGAAUAGUUGCCCAAUACUCUGAGCCAUCCAAUAUAUAUCACCAACUGACUAUUUUCUUUCAUUGCAUGAAAUAUCUUAUUAUUUUCCUGUACUGUAUAUAAUGUGAAACAACUCCCUAAACAUAUGGAAUUGCAAUUAUGCAAUAUACAUGUAUUGUGAUUUGAUGAAGAGUCCCUUUAUUGUUGCAUCUGCAAAAAAAUGAAAUAUUAAAUAAUUCAAAUAAUAAAAUACAAAAGAAAUAGUGAAUGACCUCAUUGAUACUCUGAUGUGCAUCUGUUUUGUGAAAAAUAUGUGAAAUUUAAGUGCCAUAUAUAGUGUACACCCAAUUUUGUCGAAAUUUUUGGUUUUAUACUGUUAAAAAUGCUUUUUCUCUUUUUUUACAUGUAAUAUUCAAAUCAAUUUUUUGUUGGGGUGGACUUGCCCUUUUCUGUAACUGAAUUUGUAGCUUUGACUCGGGACUUGUAUUAUACAUACAUGUAUAUAUGUGAAGCCCAAGUUGAAAGGUUGAAGAAGAAGUUUCUGGAAGCGUAGAGUACUAAACAUGAUACAUGUACAUGUGCAGUGUUCCAUUAUGUGUGGGUUAAUUUUUCUUUUGAGAAAGAGGAAGGAAUAUACUUCCGAAUCCAAGUUACAACUUUAUACAGGAUGUUUAGAGAUAAAGUAUUGUUUUACACACACAAAAAUAAAUAAAUCACAGGGAAUGUUGAGGGGGGGGGGGGGGGCUGGAGGAAGGGUACAAAAGAGACAUACAUGUAAAGUGUGUGCAUGAUUAUUUAUUCUUAAUUUCCUCAUUGACAGAUACUUAAUUCUUUUGUAGUGGAGGACAAGGCUUGUUUUUUUUUUGGGGGGGGGGGUCAGGGGUUAUAUUAUAUUUUAUUGAGCCCUGUGUAUCAGCUGCAUUUAUGAAAACACAUGGAAAAGUUAUUUUCAUUUUCACUUUUUCGCAUUGAGGUUUUGAGAGUGUGAAACAUUUU